rnacentral:tRNA from 1 species
CGGUGGUUAGUAUAACUGGAAAAUACCUCUGAAUACGAAUCAGGGUAAUGUGGGUUCGAAUCCUUCACCACCGGCCA